GACGAACGCUGGCGGCGUGCUUAACACAUGCAAGUCGAACGCUGAGGCUUGGUGCUUGCACUGGGUGGAUGAGUGGCGAACGGGUGAGUAAUACGUGAGUAACCUGCCCUUGACUCUGGGAUAAGCCUGGGAAACUGGGUCUAAUACUGGAUAUGACAUGCCACUGCAUGGUGGUGUGUGGAAAGGGUUUUACUGGUUUUGGAUGGGCUCACGGCCUAUCAGCUUGUUGGUGGGGUAAUGGCCUACCAAGGCGACGACGGGUAGCCGGCCUGAGAGGGUGACCGGCCACACUGGGACUGAGACACGGCCCAGACUCCUACGGGAGGCAGCAGUGGGGAAUAUUGCACAAUGGGCGGAAGCCUGAUGCAGCGACGCCGCGUGAGGGAUGACGGCCUUCGGGUUGUAAACCUCUUUCAGCACGGAAGAAGCGAGAGUGACGGUACGUGCAGAAGAAGCGCCGGCUAACUACGUG
rnacentral:rRNA from 1 species